AUUGAACGCUGGCGGCAUGCCUUACACAUGCAAGUCGAACGGCAGCACGGAGCUUGCUCUGGUGGCGAGUGGCGGACGGGUGAGUAAUAUAUCGGAACGUACCCUGGAGUGGGGGAUAACGUAGCGAAAGUUACGCUAAUACCGCAUACGAUCUAAGGAUGAAAGUGGGGGAUCGCAAGACCUCAUGCUCGUGGAGCGGCCGAUAUCUGAUUAGCUAGUUGGUAGGGUAAAAGCCUACCAAGGCAUCGAUCAGUAGCUGGUCUGAGAGGACGACCAGCCACACUGGAACUGAGACACGGUCCAGACUCCUACGGGAGGCAGCAGUGGGGAAUUUUGGACAAUGGGCGCAAGCCUGAUCCAGCAAUGCCGCGUGAGUGAAGAAGGCCUUCGGGUUGUAAAGCUCUUUUGUCAGGGAAGAAACGGUGGGAGCUAAUAUCUCCUGCUAAUGACGGUACCUGAAGAAUAAGCACCGGCUAACUACGUGCCAGCAGCCGCGGUAAUACGUAGGGUGCAAGCGUUAAUCGGAAUUACUGGGCGUAAAGCGUGCGCAGGCGGUUUUGUAAGUCUGAUGUGAAAUCCCCGGGCUCAACCUGGGAAUUGCAUUGGAGACUGCAAGGCUAGAAUCUGGCGGAGGGGGGUAGAAUUCCACGUGUAGCAGUGAAAUGCGUAGAUAUGUGGAGGAACACCGAUGGCGAAGGCAGCCCCCUGGGUCAAGAUUGACGCUCAUGCACGAAAGCGUGGGGAGCAAACAGGAUUAGAUACCCUGGUAGUCCACGCCCUAAACGAUGUCUACUAGUUGUCGGGUCUUAAUUGACUUGGUAACGCAGCUAACGCGUGAAGUAGACCGCCUGGGGAGUACGGUCGCAAGAUUAAAACUCAAAGGAAUUGACGGGGACCCGCACAAGCGGUGGAUGAUGUGGAUUAAUUCGAUGCAACGCGAAAAACCUUACCUACCCUUGACAUGGCUGGAAUCCUUGAGAGAUCAGGGAGUGCUCGAAAGAGAACCAGUACACAGGUGCUGCAUGGCUGUCGUCAGCUCGUGUCGUGAGAUGUUGGGUUAAGUCCCGCAACGAGCGCAACCCUUGUCAUUAGUUGCUACGAAAGGGCACUCUAAUGAGACUGCCGGUGACAAACCGGAGGAAGGUGGGGAUGACGUCAAGUCCUCAUGGCCCUUAUGGGUAGGGCUUCACACGUCAUACAAUGGUACAUACAGAGCGCCGCCAACCCGCGAGGGGGAGCUAAUCGCAGAAAGUGUAUCGUAGUCCGGAUUGUAGUCUGCAACUCGGCUGCAUGAAGUUGGAAUCGCUAGUAAUCGCGGAUCAGCAUGUCGCGGUGAAUACGUUCCCGGGUCU
rnacentral:rRNA from 1 species